GCCCGGCUGGCUUCGUUGGUAGAGCAUGUGACUCUUGAUCUUGGGGUUGUGAGUUUGAGCCCCAUGUUGGGUG
rnacentral:tRNA from 1 species